CCAUUGUCACUGGUUAUUCUGAAAAAAAAUAUGGCUGUAUCCCUCACACCCAAUCAACUGCAAAUGGAUCAGAAGGUUUGAAAAAUGAAGGUAUACCCCAAAAGAAAAAUGGCUAAAUGAUAUAAACAAAAUUUGUAAAUAUAAGAUGUUCAAUCUCACUAGCAAAUUAAAUUCACAAUGAGAUACCAUUUCAUGCCCAUCAAUUGACAAAAAAACGGGUCUUCUAAUACCAAGGAUGUGGACAAUGGGCCAUCCUUACAUUGUAGAGCAAUUGGGUAUCAUCAUCUGGUACAUUUACAGAUGCUCUUAACAUACAACCUGGCAGAUCCUUACCUUCUUAGGGAUUCCUCACAAGUGCUGGAAGAGCCAUACCAGGAUGUUUGCAAAAGAAAAGCACCAACCUAAAUGACCAACAACAGGAAAAUGGGCCUCUCACUGUUGUGGCCUCUCCCGUUGCGGAGCACAGGCUCCGGACGCACAGGCCCAGCGGCCAUGGCUCACGGGCCCAGCCGCUCCGCGGCAUGUGGGAUCUUCCCGGACCGGGGCACGAACCCGCGUCCCCUAGCAUCGGCAGGCGGACUCUCAACCACUGUGCCACCAGGGAAGCCCUACUCUUUUUGAUCUGAUUAUAAAUGGGAUUGUUUUCUUAAUUUCUUUUUCUGAUACUUCUUUGUUAGUGUAUAGAAAUUCAACAGGUUUCUGUAUAUUAAUUUUGUAUCCUGCAACAUUACCAAAUUCAUUGAUGAGCUCUAAUAAUUUUUUGGUGGCAUCCUGUGGAUUUUCUAUGUAUUGUAUGUCACCUGCAAACAAUAAAUUUAUUUUUAUUUUUGGCUGCGUUGGGUUUUUGUUGCUGUGCGCGGGCUUUCUCUGGUUGCAGCAAGCAUAUGGCCUGUACUAUGUUGAAGUAUGUUCCUCUAUAUGUACUUUGUUGAGUUUUUAGCAUAAAUGGAUGUUGAAUCUUGUCAAAAGCUUUUUCUCCAUCUAUUUAUAUGAUCAUCUGGCUUUUAUUCUUCAGUUUGUUAAUGUGGUAUAUAACACUCAUUUGCAGAUAUUGAACUACCCUUGCAUCCGAGGUAAAUCCCACUUGAUCAUGGCAUAUGAUCCUUUUUAUGUCUUGUUGAAUUUGGUUUGCUAAUAUUUUCUUGAGGAUUUGCAUCUGUGUUCAGCAGUGAUACUAGCCUCUAAUUUUCUUUUUCUGUGCUAUCUCUGUCUGGUUUUGGUAUCAGAGUGAUUUCUGGCAUUGUAGAAUGAGUUUGAAAACAUUCCUUCCUCUGCAAUUUCUUGAAAUAGUUGAGAAAGGUGUUAAUUCUUCUCUAAAUGUACAGAAUUCAUCUGUGAAGCCAUCUGGUCCUACACUUUUGAGGGAAGUUGUUUUAUUGCUGAUUGAACUUCAUUAAUGGUAACUGGUCUGUUUAUGUAUUUUCUAUUUCCUCCUGGUUCAGUCUUGGGAAAGUGUACAUUUCUAGGACUUUGUUCAUUUCUUCUAGGUUGUCCAUUUUAUUGGCAUGUAGUGAUUUGUAGUAGUCUCUUAUGAUCUUUUGUAUUUCUGGGGUGUGGGUUGUGACUUUUUUUUUUUUUAAUUUAUUUAUUUUUGGCUGCAUUGGGUCUUCGUUGCUGCAGGCAGGCUUUCUCUAGUUGUGGCGAGCAGGGGCUACUCUUUGUCGCGGUGCGUGUGCUUCUUAUUGUGGUGGCUUCUCUUGUUGCGGAGCACGGGCUCUAGGCGCACAGGCUUCAGUAGUUGUGGCAUGAGGGCUCAGUAGUUGUGGUUUGUGAGAUUUAGAUCACAGGCUCAGCAGUUGUGCCGCACAGGCUUAGUUGCUCCACAGCAUGUGGGAUCUUCCCAGACCAGGGCUCGAACCCAAGUCCUCUGCAUUAGUAGGUGGAUUCUUAACCCUUGCGCCGCCAGGGAAGCCCUUCAUUUCUGAUUUUAUUGAUUUGGACCCUCUCUCUUUUUCUUGAUGAGUCUGGCUAAAGGUUUAUCAAUUUUGUUUAUUUUUUCAAAGAAUCAGCUCUUAGUUUUUUUGAUCCUUCCUAUUGUUUUCUUAGUCUUUAUUUCUGCUCUAAUCUUUAUGAUUUCUUUCUUUCUACUAACUUCGGGUUUUGUUUGUUCUUCUUUUUCUAGUUCUUUUAGAUGUAAAGUUAAGUUGUUUGAGAUUUUGCAUGUUUCCUGAGCUAGGCUUGGAUCACUAUAAAUUUCCCUCUUAGAACUGCUUUUGCUGCAUCCCACAGAUUUUGAAUCGUUCUGUUUUUGCUUUUAUUUGUCUUCAAGUAUUUUUUAAAUUUCUUCUUUGAUUUCUUCAGUGAUCCACUGCUUGUUUAGUAGCAUAUUCCCCACAAGGGAAGAGAACAAAAGAAGAAAGGGAGAAAAAGUAACUACAAAAACAACCCCCAAAACAAUUAACAAAAUGGCAAUAAGUGGGACUUCCCUGGUGGCACAGUGAUUAAGAAUCCGCCUGCCAAUGCAGGGGACCCAGGUUCGAGCCCUGAUUUGGGAAGAUCCCACAUGCCGCAGAGCAACUAAGCUAGUGCGCCACAACUACUGAGCCUGUGCUCUAGAGCCCGCAAGCCACAACUACUGAAGCCCACGCACCUAGAGCCUGUGCUCUGCAACAAGAGAAGCCACCUCAAUGAGAAGCCCGCGCGCCACAAUGAAGAGUAGCCCCCACUCACCGCAACUAGAGAAAGCCCGCACACAACAACGAAGACCUGAUGGCUGCAUCAGGCUGCAUAAAUAAAUAAAUUUAUUUUUUUUAAUGGCAGUAAGUACAUACCUAUCAAUAAUUACUUUAAAUGUAAAUGGACUAAAUGCUCCAAGACAUAGAGUGACUGAAUGGAUACAAAAAGAAGACCCAUAUAUAUGCUGCCUUCAAGAGACUCAUUUCAGAUCAAAAGGCAUACUGAAAGUGAGAGGAUGGAAAAAGGCAUUCUAUGCAAAGGGAAAUGAAAAGAAAGCUGGAGUAGCAAUACUUGUGUCAAAGUAGAUUUUGAAACAAAGACUUUAACAGGAGGCAAAGGACAUUACAUAGUGAUCAAGGGAUCAAUCCAAAGACGUAACAGCUGUAUAUAUAUAUUCACCCAACAUAGGAGCAAAUAUUAAUACAUAAAGCAAAUAUUAACAGACAUAAAGGGAGAAACUGACAGUAACACAAUAUUAGUACGGGACUUUAACACACCACUUAGAUCGAUGGACAUAUCAUCCAGACAGAAAACACUGGCCUUGAAUGACAUUAGAACAAAUGGAAUAUAUAUAUAAAACAUCCCAUCCAAAAGCAGCAGAAUACACAUUCUUUUCCAGUACAUAUGGAACAUUCUCCAGGAUAGAGUCAUAAACCGGGGUUGGUAAAUUUAAGAAAAUUGAAAUCAUAGCAAGCAUCUUUUCUGACCACAAUGCUAUGAUACUAGAAAUCAAGUAUAAGAAAAAAAACAGAAAACAAAAAAUACCCUGGAAACACGCAAACAUGUAGAGGCCAAAUAAUAUUCUACUAUUUCUUUUAAAAAACAAGAGGAAGUUUUCAGUAAUGAUGGUUGCUGAGAAUAAGUGAAAAUGCUGUGAUAUAGAUGGCAGAUGGUGGUAGCCAGUUUUCUCACUGUUGGAGUAGGAGGUUACAGAUAAGCAAGGGAAGACAGCUAGAAUGAUCCAUGUGGUAGUGAAUUACAGUUGGAAACACCAGGAUAAACUAUGUUUAGCUUAAUAUCGAUACAGAAAAUUCCAUAUAGAAAUAUUUCUAGUUAUGUGUAUAUAUACAUGUAUUACACUGUCAACUGAGUGGGCCAAGAAGCAAGGACAGACAUUCCAGUGGCGAUGAGCACACUUAGCUCCCAGUUUAGGUUUCUGAUGCCAUUCUCCAAUUAAAGGAAUCAAGUCUCCUUAGAGAAAUGGCUGAUUCUAGGACUGAGGCAGAAAAUGUACAAAUGCCUGGAGAACACUAGUGCCAGAAAGCAAGGAAGUGCUCAAACACAAAAACAAUGAUCAAGGAGAUGAAGUUAUGUCAAAGGGACACAGGAGCCAAGUGAAGAAGCUUUGAAUGGCCAAAGCUGGAACAAUUAGAGCAAUAAAAUAAAGUAGUAUUGAAUUAUAAUCCAAAGUAUAAAAUAAAUAUCCAUGAGUUCAUACUGAUAUAAAUAAAUGGGAGAAAACAGAAAUCUCCCUUGUAGAAGAAAUCCAAGUAAUUUCUAUAGGCACUCUGCCAUUACGGAGGUGAAGUUCUUUAAGCCUGAGCUUAAAUCACAUAGUGACUUCCAAAGAGUACAUAUGGGGACGUCCCUGGUGGUGCAGUGGUUAAAAAUCCGCCUGCCAAAUGCAGGGGAUGCACGUUCGAUCCCUGGUCCAGGAAGAUGCCACAUGCCGCGGUGCAACUAAGCCCGUGUGCCACAACUACUGAGCCCACAUGUUGCAGCUACUGAAGCCCAAGCAUCUAGAACCCAUGCUCCGCAACAAGAGAAGCCACCACAAUGAGAAGCCCGCACAUCGCAACGGAGAGCAGCCCCCCACUCACCACAACUAGAGAAAGCCUGUGUGCAGCAACAAAGGCCCAAUGCAGCCCCCCACCCCCCAAAAAAAAGAGUACAUAUAAUGUAGACAGGGGGAAAAGUGACUCAGAGUAGAGAAACCUGACAGACCCUACCUCAGCUAAGUGAUGUCAUCCUGAGAGCAUGUACCUUUGAUAUGAAGUGAAGAUGACAUUUUACCUGUGGUCUUCCUCUCAAAACAUAACCUCAGUCUAAUCAAAGGAAAAACAUCUGACAAAUCCCAAAAGACAUUCUGCAAAAUCCCUGACCAAUGGUCCUUAAAACUGUUGAGGUCAUCAAAAAGAAGGAAAGUCUGAGAAACUUUCACAGCCAAGAGAAGACUAAGAACACAUAAUGACUAAAUACAAUACUACUGAAUGGGAUCCUGGAAUAGAAAUAGGAAAAAACUAACAAAAUCUGAAUAAAUUAUGGACUUUAGUUAAUAAUAAUGUAUAAGUAUCAUUAAAAAUGUACCAUAUUGUUAAAAAAUGUUAAUAA